UCUUCAUUCGUUUCCUGCAGCACGCACACUUCUGCUCACACAACCCAGGAGGAACAAAGAGAGCAGUCAGAAAAAGGGAAAAACAGAAUGACUUUACAAGGGAAAGGACAAGGGGAGGAUGUCCACUAUCAAGGGCAGCAGAGACACAUGCUAGAGCCAAAAUAUGCAGAAAGGGAAAUUACACAAAUUUCCCUUUGAUACUUUAGUGCCAUCAUGACAUCAUGGGGCUUUUCUCAUUUCAUUUAUGUGACUUACAUCAAUGAACAGGUCAGCUAUUAUGCUUACACAAGCUAACAAGCACAA